rnacentral:hammerhead_ribozyme from 1 species
GCACUGUUGAAGAGUCCAACAAUAGGACGAAACGGCUGUCCAUUAC